CGGCCGCGUCGACGUUUGAUCCUGGCUCAGGACGAACGCUGGCGGCGUGCCUAAUACAUGCAAGUCGAGCGAGCAGAACCAGCAGAUUUACUUCGGUAAUGACGCUGGGACGGCGAGCGGCGGAUGGGUGGAGUAACACGUGGGGAACCGUGCCCCACUAGCCUGGGAUACCACUUGGAAACAGGUGCUAAUACCGGAUAAGAAAGCAGAUCGCAUGAUCAGCUUAUAAAAGGCGGGUCGACGCGGCCGGUCGUGGGAGG
rnacentral:rRNA from 1 species